AUGACGGGCAGCGAAACAUUGCUUGGCAGCCUCGAGAAGUUGGGAACGGGAAGCUGGUUUGCCUCGGUGCUCUGUGCUGCGGACAACUGCCGCCACGGUGACUGCCAAUCGGGUCCAUUCCGCGUCGUUUUCGUCUUCCUUCACCACGAAGAUGAGAUCGCUACGGCGUGCGUGUACUCAUCGGAGACGCCUAGUUGGAGCUCUCUGGCCAUCACCGACCUUGGUAUGUUUGAGGAGGAAAUCGAUUGCUCCACGCCUAGUGUACUCGCAGGAGACGCGCUCUAUUUCCUGCUGUUCCGGGACCAGGCUGUUGAAGGUUGCAGUAUUCUCAACUACAACUUGGGAACCUCUUGUCUGUCAGAGAUUCAUCUGUCGGAGGAGAUGUAG
rnacentral:rRNA from 1 species